rnacentral:tRNA from 1 species
AAGUUUAGGUUAAUGCACCAAACCAAGGGCCUUCAAAGCCUUAAACAGGGGCUUAUCUCCCUAACUUCU